GGAAAAUGAAAUAAAACCACGCAGGAGGAAAGGUGGGAUUUGAUCUGCAGGACGUCAUGGUCCACAAGAUCCCAUCUUCUCUGUGGAAAUCCUGAGGCUGCAUCCAGAAACACUUCCAGCCGCUCAUCCUCCAGAGAGAACUUCAGAUCGUACCUGAUCAGCUCGAUGAGCCGCUCCUCCAGAAUGGCUUUGGUUCUGUUCAGGUCCUCGAUCUCCGCCGUCAUCUUCAGCUGCUG